AGUGAACGCUGGCGGUAGGCCUAACACAUGCAAGUCGAACGGCAGCACAGCAGUAGCAAUACUGUGGGUGGCGAGUGGCGAACGGGUGAGUAAUAUAUCGGAACGUACCCUAGAGUGGGGGAUAACGCAGCGAAAGUUGCGCUAAUACCGCAUACGAUCUACGGAUGAAAGUGGGGGAUCGCAAGACCUCAUGCUCAUGG
rnacentral:rRNA from 1 species